ACGUAGUUUGAUCAGUGGCCUCAAGAACGAACGCUGGCGGCAGGCUUAACACAUGCAAGUCGAGCGCGUAGCAAUACGAGCGGCAGACGGGUGAGUAACGCGUGGGAAUCUACCCAACCCUACGGAAUAACGCAUGGAAACGUGUGCUAAUACCGUAUACGCCCUUCGGGGGAAAGAUUUAUCGGGGAUGGAUGAGCCCGCGUUGGAUUAGCUAGUUGGUGGGGUAAAGGCCUACCAAGGCGACGAUCCAUAGCUGGUCUGAGAGGAUGAUCAGCCACAUUGGGACUGAGACACGGCCCAAACUCCUACGGGAGGCAGCAGUGGGAAUAUUGGACAAUGGGCGCAAGCCUGAUCCAGCCAUGCCGCGUGAGUGAUGAAGGCCCUAGGGUUGUAAAGCUCUUUCACCGGUGAAGAUAAUGACGGUAACCGGAGAAGAAGCCCCGGCUAACUUCGUG
rnacentral:rRNA from 1 species